CCUGGAGCAAGAAUUCACCCACAGGGCUGAUGGAUCUUUCCAUCUCACAAAAGGAGUAUAUGUCACGGCUGCCCAAGCCGAAAAAAUUUUACGAAACGGAAAGGCAACAUUGGCGGUCAAAGACUCAGCCCAAGCUAUUUGGACGACCAAUGUACUGGCAACGCGCAGUGUGAGCGGCAACGUGGCACCAAAAUUAAAAGCGCUUGGCGAAGCUCCUAAACAGCCCUUAACUCCAAAAAAAAAUUGAGGUUGUUGCAGCUACACUACAGCACUGGGGGCAGAAGAGCCAAGUCGAUGUGACCGAGGUACUUUGAGCAAUU
rnacentral:lncRNA from 1 species